UACGAAGGGUGCUAGCGUUGCUCGGAAUUACUGGGCGUAAAGCGCACGUAGGCGGUCUUUUAAGUCGGGGGUGAAAUCCUGGAGCUCAACUCCAGAACUGCCUUCGAUACUGAAAGACUUGAGUCCGGGAGAGGUGAGUGGAACUGCGAGUGUAGAGGUGAAAUUCGUAGAUAUUCGCAAGAACACCAGUGGCGAAGGCGACUCACUGGCCCGGUACUGACGCUGAGGUGCGAAAGCGUGGGGAGCAAACAGG
rnacentral:rRNA from 1 species